CCUACGGGAGGCAGCAGUGGGGAAUUUUGCGCAAUGGGGGCAACCCUGACGCGGCAACGCCGCGUGAGUGAUGAAGGCCUUCGGGUCGUAAAGCUCUGUCAGAGGGGAAGAAAUGCAGGUGGUGAACAACCAUUCUGUUUGACGGUACCCUCAAAGGAAGCACCGGCUAACUCCGUGCCAGCAGCCGCGGUAAUACGUAGGGGGCGAGCGUUGUCCGGAUUUACUGGGUGUAAAGGGUGCUCAGGCGGGUCUGUAAGUCAGGGGAAAAAUCCCAGAGCUUAACUCUGGAACUGCCUUUGAUACUGCAGAUCUCGAGUUUGGGAGAGGCGAGUGGAAUAUCUGGUGUAGCAGUAAAAUGCGUAGAUAUCAGAUAGAACACCAAUGGCGAAGGCAGCUCGCUGGCCCAAUACUGACGCUAAAGCACGAAAGCGGGGGGAGCAAACAGGAUUAGAUACCCGGGUAGU
rnacentral:rRNA from 1 species